UGUUAUCUUGACAUUUUAAAUGAUAUCGAUAAUUUUAUAUAAAAGCAAACAUUUUUAGGAGAUGAUGCGAAAGGCAUUUCAAAUAGAUAUAAAUAUUUACUAAUUUAAAAUGUUCUAUGAGCACAUUAUUUUGGCCAAGAAAGGCCCCCUAGCCAGGAUCUGGUUGGCAGCACAUUGGGACAAAAAAAUUACAAAGGCCCAUGUAUUUGAAACUAAUAUUGAAAAAUCAGUGGAAGGCAUUUUGCAACCGAAAGUAAAAUUAGCGCUGAGAACGUCUGGACAUUUAUUGCUAGGUGUUGUUCGCAUUUAUUCAAGAAAAGCGAAGUAUUUAUUAGCUGAUUGCAAUGAAGCCUUCGUCAAGAUUAAGAUGGCUUUUCGACCAGGCAUGGUCGACUUACCAGAAGGGCACAGAGAAGCUAAUGUUAAUGCAAUAACACUCCCAGAAGUUUUUCAUGACUUUGAUACAGCAUUGCCCGAAUUAAACGAUAUUGAUAUUGAGGCUCAGUUUUCUAUAAAUCAGUCUAGAGCUGACGAGAUAACAAUGAGAGAAGAUUACGGCAGCUUGUCUCUUUCCUUACAAGAUGACGGAUUUGGUGAUAUAGGCUUUGAAGCAGAAACGCCUGAAAUUAUACGAUGCUCUAUACCUUCAAAUAUCAAUGAUAAACUAUUUGAUAAUGACGUGUUGGAAAAUAUUGAGUCUCUGGAUCCACAUUCAUUGGACGCCCAUGCGGAUAUGCCUGGUUCUCGAUUGGAUGGUGAUGGGUUUGGAGAUUCUUUUGGACAACCAGCUCUUUUUGAAGACGAUCUUUUUGGUGAUCCUUCUCAGCCAGUUGAGCAGAUUACCAAAGAAUCUACUACUGUUCUCAACGCAGAUGAUUCUGAUGAAGACGCCAUUGACAAUAUUCAUAAUGUCCCUUCGCCUGCAACCUCGCUCGUUAAUUCGAUUGAAGAUGAGAAAGAGGAUAAUAAUUUGAAUGGAGAUGCAAGUGUAUCCGAAAAUGUGCCAAUAAAUGAAAUAACGCUUGUUCAAAACGAGGAUGAGGGAUUUGCGUUAGCUCCUUUAGAUGCCUCAAUGUAUAAAGGCGUAACAAAAGCGAAACGCAAAAGAAAACUUAUUAUCGACGAAAUAAAAAAUAUUUCUGGAGAAGAAAUGAAGGCACAGUUAGCCGAUACAUCUGAUAUAUUAACAACACUUGAUUUGGCCCCACCAACAAAAAGAUUAAUGUAUUGGAAAGAAACUGGAGGUGUCGAAAAACUUUUUUCAUUACCAUCGCGAUCCAUACCAGCUAGAGCUUUGUUUGGUAAUUACAAUAGACAGUUGUAUUCGCAUUCAACAUUCUUUGAGGACUUCUCAAGUGUUGUGCCAAUGGAAAUUCUUGCUCUGGAAUUUUAUACCAAAGAGAACGAGAACGCAUUAAUUAUUUUUAAUAAAAAAGGACGCAAACGUAAGAAUGAUAUUAUGUCCAAUUUGUUUUUGGACCAUGCCCCCGAUUCAGUUGUUCAAAGUUUGGAAGCUCCUGAAGUCCUGAGAGAGAAUCAUAAACCUCUAGGGGAGUCUACCGUUUCUGUGGAGAUUGUAUCAAAAGAACAAGAAAGCAUAUCUUGUCAAAAUGAAUUAACAUUUUUUGAUAAUAUGCGAAGUCCGGACCUCUUGUCCUUAAAUGAAAUGGAACAGUUCUCAUCGAUAAAUGAGCUACCUUUAACGCCAAGAAACACGAAUCAUGAAAUGGGUGAUGAUUUUAAUCAAGGAGACUCAACGCCAGCUGGAUUGGAUCAUGGUCAUGCCACUCCGCAACAUGGAAAUAUUGGCGAGAUGGAUCACGACUCAGUUAUACCCACAGAAAAGACUACAGUCAUUUUAAAUGAAUCUGUGGGUACAUCUAUAUUGAGUGGCUAUUCAAAAAGGACAAAUAAUAUUUUAAAAGGAUGGGACAACUAUGAAAUUCCCAGUUUCGUUGGCCAAGUAGUAUCCACUACCCACCUUCCUACCAUUCUUCUUAGCUUUAUCUGGUGUUCUGCUCCAUUAUGCCGUGUAUAGACUUCUAAACAAUUCGUGAAACCAUUUUAGGGUAUAAGACGUACAGGGCACUGUUAUCAGCAAUACCACUAUGUCUCAUCGGAACAUAAGUGUAUUGGGGUUUGUGAAAGCUAAUUCACGUGUAUUUUUCCAAUCAACUCUGCUCAAAUUCAUCGCGAUUUCUGCUGCUACGCCGGAGAACCGCAUAGAUGACGAUCUUUCCGACGCUAUUUUGAAAGCCGUUACUGCGUUAAAAAGUAUUUAACAGGCAGAAGCAGGAAGCGUUUCCGACCAUAUAACGUAUAUAUAUGUAUUUGAUCAGGAUUGAUAGCCGGGUCGAUCUGGCCAAGUCCGUAUAAACGUCUCGAUCUCAGGAACAAUAAAAACAAGAAGGUUUAGAUUAAGCGUAGAUUUAGAUUUUUCUUCGUUUUAUUGUUUGUCUUUCCAAUUUUUAUCGGUAUACCAAAAACACUGUAGCCACGCUCCUCCUUUCAUCUACAAAACGCACACCCCGACAUUAUUAAAAAAUUUUUACAUUUUUUUACAUUUACAUUACAUUUUAUUCCCCAAUAUAUAUCGGUAUAUUCUCUAUAUCAGUAAAUUCUGAGAUCUGUUCGUGUUAAGUAACGGGUAACUCGAGUCGGGGAACUCGACUAUAGCAUUCUCUUUUGUUUUAUUUGUAACCGGAUAUUUAGCACUAGUAAUGGCCCUUGGACAGCAAUAUUACUUGGAAAUGUUAAUAUGUAUGUGGCACUGCAGGGAAUUUGGAAGAGAAUCAUGGUGACGAACAAAUGGAAAAUGAAACCGAUGAGCAAUUUGAAGAACGUGUUUUAAACAAGAGAGCCGCCCACCUUUUCAUUGACGUAAGAUCACAUUUUAUCGCCAAGGACAGCUUGGAACUUUCUCAGCUUACGU